UACGGAGGGUGCGAGCGUUGUCCGGAAUCAUUGGGCGUAAAGGGCGCGUAGGUGGCCCGGUCAGUCAGUGGUGAAAGCGCGGGGCUCAACUCCGCGUCGGCCAUUGAUACUGCUGGGCUGGAGCACUGUAGAGGCAGGCGGAAUUCCGGGUGUAGCGGUGGAAUGCGUAGAGAUCGGGAAGAACAUCAGUGGCGAAGGCGGCCUGCUGGGCUGUUGCUGACGCUGAGGCGCGACAGCGUGGGGAGCAAACAGG
rnacentral:rRNA from 1 species